rnacentral:lncRNA from 1 species
CCCCUUCCCCAACACCACUCCCCUCCUCCCGACAGUCAUCCCAGUCUUCGAUCUCGCGAGAUUUCUCGCCUGACAGGCCCGGCCCUGCGCGAGACAAGACUGCGUACGCGUGCGCGCCCUCACGGGAGCGCGCGAGUGCUUGCACUGGGCGGAGUCGUCCGUUUGGCCCGGAGUCCCAGCCCCUGUCCAGCCCGGCCUCAGUCAGCUGGCGGAGCUCUUAUGCCACGCGGACGUCAGGUAUCUAUCGGUUAAGCAUCUGCAGUAAGCCAUGAAUAAGUUAGAGCAGCUGCAUCAGAGUCGAAAAGAAAUCCAGCCCUGAAGUUAUCAAGCAGAGGAUGUGAGGGGAGUAUAGCAGGAGUUAAAAACGUUGACUGUGAAGUCCUACCUCCAGCACUUGUAGGAAAGGCUAUAUUAAAUUCCCGUACUCCCUAGCCACUUCUGGCUUCAAUGACUCCAGCUCUAUUGCCAAACCAUAGAGUGAGCCCUUACUGCUGAGGACAUACAU